rnacentral:rRNA from 1 species
CCUAAGACGAGGAUAACAGUUGGAAACGACUGCUAAGACUGGAUAGGAGACAAGAAGGCAUCUUCUUGUUUUUAAAAGACCUAGCAAUAGGUAUGCUUAGGGAGGAGCUUGCGUCACAUUAGUUAGUUGGUGGGGUAAAGGCCUACCAAGACUAUGAUGUGUAGCCGGGCUGAGAGGUUGAACGGCCACAUUGGGACUGAGACACGGCCCAAACUCCUACGGGAGGCAGCAGUAGGGAAUUUUCGGCAAUGGAGGAAACUCUGACCGAGCAACGCCGCGUGAACGAUGAAGUAUUUCGGUACGUAAAGUUCUUUUAUUAGGGAAGAAUAAAUGAUGGAAAAAUCAUUCUGACGGUACCUAAUGAAUAAGCCCCGGCUAACUAUGUGCCAGCAGCCGCGGUAAUACAUAGGGGGCAAGCGUUAUCCGGAAUUAUUGGGCGUAAAGGGUGCGUAGGCGGUUAAAUAAGUUUAUGGUCUAAGUGCAAUGCUCAACAUUGUGAUGCUAUAAAAACUGUUUAGCUAGAGUAAGAUAGAGGCAAGUGGAAUUCCAUGUGUAGUGGUAAAAUGCGUAAAUAUAUGGAGGAACACCAGUAGCGAAGGCGGCUUGCUGGGUCUUUACUGACGCUGAGGCACGAAAGCGUGGGGAGCAAACAGGAUUAGAUACCCUGGUAGUCCACGCCGUAAACGAUGAGUACUAAACGUUGGGUAAAACCAGUGUUGAAGUUAACACAUUAAGUACUCCGCCUGAGUAGUACGUACGCAAGUAUGAAACUUAAAGGAAUUGACGGGACUCCGCACAAGCGGUGGAUCAUGUUGUUUAAUUCGAAGGUACCCGAAAAACCUCACCAGGUCUUGACAUGCUUCUGCAAAGCUGUAGAAACACAGUGGAGGUUAUCAGUUGCACAGGUGGUGCAUGGUUGUCGUCAGCUCGUGUCGUGAGAUGUUGGGUUAAGUCCCGCAACGAGCGCAACCCUUAUUGUUAGUUACCAGCACGUAAUGGUGGGGACUUUAGCAAGACUGCCAGUGAUGAAUUGGAGGAAGGUGGGGACGACGUCAAAUCAUCAUGCCCCUUAUGACCUGGGCUACAAACGUGAUACAAUGGCUGUUACAAAGGGUAGCUGAAGCGCAAGUUUUUGGCGAAUCUCAAAAAAACAGUCUCAGUUCGGAUUGAAGUCUGCAACUCGACUUCAUGAAGUUGGAAUCGCUAGUAAUCGCGAAUCAGCAUGUCGCGGUGAAUACGUUCUCGGGGUUUGUACACACCGCCCG